rnacentral:rRNA from 1 species
GAGAGUUGUAGUCCUGGCUCAGGAUGAACGCUGGCGGCGUGCCUAACACAUGCAAGUCGAACGGGUAAGUGAUAUUUCGGAUGGAUCUUAACUAGUGGCGGACGGGUGAGUAACGCGUGGAUAACCUGCCUCACACAGGGGGAUAGCAGCUGGAAACGGCUGGUAAUACCGCAUAAGACCACGGUGCCGCAUGGCAUUGUGGUAAAAGAUUUAUCGGUGUGAGAUGGAUCCGCGUCUGAUUAGCCAGUUGGCGGGGUAACGGCCCACCAAAGCGACGAUCAGUAGCCGGCCUGAGAGGGUGAACGGCCACAUUGGGACUGAGACACGGCCCAAACUCCUACGGGAGGCAGCAGUGGGGAAUAUUGCACAAUGGGCGCAAGCCUGAUGCAGCAAAACCGCCGCGUGAGUGAAGAAGUAUUUCGGUAUGUAAAGCUCUAUCGGCAGGGAAGAAAGGCCCUUUAAGGGAGAUGACGGUACCUGACUAAGAAGCCCCGGCUAACUACGUGCCAGCCGCGGC